UGCAAGUCGAGGGGCAUCACAUGAAGUAGCAGAUACGGAUGGUGGCGACCGGCGCACGGGUGAGUAACGCGUAUGCAAUCUACCUACAACAAGGGGAUAACCCGUUGAAAGACGGACUAAUACCCUAUAAUACAGGGGUUCCGCAUGGGACUAUUUGUUAAAGAUUCAUCGGUUGUAGAUGAGCAUGCGUUCCAUUAGCUGGUUGGUGGGGUAACGGCCCACCAAGGCAACGAUGGAUAGGGGAACUGAGAGGUUUAUCCCCCACACUGGUACUGAGACACGGACCAGACUCCUACGGGAGGCAGCAGUGAGGAAUAUUGGUCAAUGGACGCAAGUCUGAACCAGCCACGUCGCGUGAAGGAAGACGGCCCUACGGGUUGUAAACUUCUUUUGUAAGGGAAUAAAGUGAGUCACGGGUGACUUUUUGCAUGUACCUUACGAAUAAGGAUCGGCUAACUCCGUGCCAGCAGCCGCGGUAAUACGGAGGAUCCGAGCGUUAUCCGGAUUUAUUGGGUUUAAAGGGUGCGCAGGCGGGAGAUUAAGUCGGCGGUGAAAUUUUGCAGCUCAACUGUAAAAGUGCCAUCGAUACUGGUUUUCUUGAGUGUAGAUGAAGUAGGCGGAAUUUGUGGUGUAGCGGUGAAAUGCAUAGAUAUCACGAGGAACUCCGA
rnacentral:rRNA from 1 species